UCUCUCUCGUUCUCCAGGUUUCUCCAGGUGACACAUUAGAAGAUCCCAGGAUUGAAGAUCGCAGCCAAGAAGUCAGAGGGUUUAUAUUCUCCAAAAUUCUGUAGUUGGUAUCGAUGGCAAAGAAGGGGGCAUCUUCGUCAAAUCCUGUAGCUACAUGGAAUG